AAAUUGGUCUUCUAUGCUCACUUGCUGUCGGUGAAAUCAGCAUCAAUUACAUCGUCUCCAUCAGGUCCCUUCCCAGAUGAUGAUUCUGAAGGUCCAUCAGAACUGCCAGGUGCUGGACCAGCACCGGGUGCAGCACCAGGCUGGUUGUAGAGUGACUGGCCAAGCUGCAUUACUUCUUGGUUAAGGGCAGCCAUAGCAUCCUUCAUGGACUGAGUUGAGCCUCCUGAGAUUGCUUCUUUAAGCUCUCCAAGNAACACUCUGCAAUUUCCACACACUACCCUCUUUGGUACAGUAAAUAAUUAUUUUAUCAUAUGACAACAGAUGUACAUUCGUCUUUUGCAGUUUGCCUUGGACUUUGUAUAAUAAAUAUUGAAAUUCUCAUUGCUUCCUCAGGACAGUUAUUUUUUACUUGUGAUAAACUUGAACAUGAGAUUUUUCUGGAUUGAAGUAGCAGCACAGUAAAGGAUUUAAGCUUUGACAUAUUCCUGCACUUUUCUCAGAGUAAUGGACACAUUGAAGUUGCCCUUUCGUAUUCCACUUUUACAAUUAUGCUCUCCUUUCAAGACAAGAAUUCUUCUGUUACGAUCAGACAUGAGCUUAAAAAGAUAAAUAGAACUAUUCAACGUCUGUACUAAGAAUUAAAUUCAAAUUCAUUCACUCCAAUAACAGCAAGUAACAAAAAACACAAGGAGCUAUAUAUGAAAGGAUCCGCAAGGUCCCCCCUAAACAUAGAGUUAUCAAACAAUAGGCUUAGAGAACCAGAAACAGUUUCUCUAACCUUCUGGAUUUAACAUUUCUAGAGAUAUUCAUGGUUAGAGACACUCUUUCAUUUUGCAAAAUACCCACCUACCUCCACAUUUCUAACCUCUAGUUCUCAGUAUGAAUUAUCUUUUCAGCGUACCCCAUUCCACCAGAAAUUGACCCCCAAAAUCGUAGUUGUGCAAAAAGUUAAAAUCCCUUAUACACAACCUAAACACAGAGUAUAAAGGCUGAAAAUUAAAUAGACUCAAAAAUUGGUCUUCUAUGCUCACUUGCUGUCGGUGAAAUCAGCAUCAAUUACAUCGUCUCCAUCAGGUCCCUUCCCAGAUGAUGAUUCUGAAGGUCCAUCAGAACUGCCAGGUGCUGGACCAGCACCGGGUGCAGCACCAGGCUGGUUGUAGAGUGACUGGCCAAGCUGCAUUACUUCUUGGUUAAGGGCAGCCAUAGCAUCCUUCAUGGACUGAGUUGAGCCUCCUGAGAUUGCUUCUUUAAGCUCUCCA
rnacentral:lncRNA from 1 species